GACGAACGCUGGCGGCGUGCUUAACACAUGCAAGUCGAACGGAAGGGCCCUGCUUUUGUGGGGUGCUCGAGUGGCGAACGGGUGAGUAACACGUGAGUAACCUGCCCUUGACUUUGGGAUAACUUCAGGAAACUGGGGCUAAUAUCGGAUAGGAGCUCCUGCUGCAUGGUGGGGGUUGGAAAGUUUCGGCGGUUGGGGAUGGACUCGCGGCUUAUCAGCUUGUUGGUGGGGUAGUGGCUUACCAAGGCAUUGACGGGUCGCCGGCCUGAGAGGGUGACCGGCCACAUUGGGACUGAGAUACGGCCCAGACUCCUACGUGAGGCAGCAGUGGGGAAUAUUGCACAAUGGGCGGAAGCCUGAUGCAGCAACGCCGCGUGCGGGAUGACGGCCUUCGGGUUGUAAACCGCUUUCGCCUGUGACGAAGCGUGAGUGACGGUAAUGGGUAAAGAAGCACCGGCUAACUACGUG
rnacentral:rRNA from 1 species